rnacentral:rRNA from 1 species
CCUACGGGGGGCAGCAGUGGGGAAUAUUGGGCAAUGGAGGCAACUCUGACCCAGCAACGCCGCGUGAAGGAAGAAGGCCUUAGGGUUGUAAACUUAUGUUGUAAAGGAAGAAAAGAAUGACGGUACUUUACAAGAAAGCCCCGGCUAACUAUGUGCCAGCAGCCGCGGUAAGACAUAGGGGGCAAGCGUUGUUCGGAAUUACUGGGCGUAAAGGGAGCGUAGGCGGGAGAUUAAGUUAAGAGUGAAAGCCUUGGGCUCAACCCAAGAAAUGCUCUUAAUACUGGUUUUCUAGAGUGUGGGAGAGGUAAGUGGAAUUCCUAGUGUAGCGGUGAAAUGCUUAGAUAUCACGAAGAACUCCGAUUGCGAAGGCAGCUUACUAAACUGCCACUGACAUUGAUGCUCGAAAGUGUGGGUAUCAAACAGGAUUAGAUACCCCUGUAGUC